UCUUUUAAUAGUAAUAUAUUAUAUUUAUUUUGGUUAUUUUUUAUUUAAUUACUAUCGCACCCGCUGGUUUACCAGUCAUAAAACUCCCGCAAACGCACCCAUAACCAAACGCUCAACCAGUCGUUCAAAACACUUGAUAACGCUUGAAACCGCAACCGCCCGUUUCCGCAAACUCCCGCAACCGCAACCGCACCCGCUGCGUUUAAACCAGUCAGGCCCUAAGUGAUGCAUCUUGACUAAAU
rnacentral:sRNA from 1 species